GUGAUCUGUGGUCAGUUCAUAUAAACUCUGAUUUACUGUUGAAACUUUGGUUCAUGAAGUCGCACUCAAUCACAGAACAGUGUUUAUAUGAAUGUUGGUCAGUCAGUGUGUACUGUAAGUGUGUAAGUGUGUGUGUGUGUGUGUGUGUGUGUUCAGUGUGGCAGCGGCGAGAGACGAGUAUCUUCAGAGGAGACGUGAAGCCCAUCAGUACAAACUCAGAGCUCAGAAACAACUGGGUCUCAGACCGUCCACAGCAGACGCUGAAGGCCGUCAGACAAACCCACAGGAGCAUCAUGGGAACGUCAGAGCGGCUCAGGACAGGAGACUGCAGGGACAGGAGGAGUAUCUGAAGCAGCUGCGGCGAAUCAGAGAGCAGUAUCAUCAUGAUGUCAGACGGAUGAGGACGAGGGCAGAGCUCGAGGAGCGUCUGACAGCAGAAACACACACACUGAAGAAGAACGGAGAGAGACACACACACGGGAAACAGCAGCAGGUGCAAACACACACACACCAGACACCACCAGAAACAGAGAACAAAUUUAGCUCAUAAAAACAUUUCAAAACAAAGUUUUUAAGACACUGAAAAUCCAAUUCUUGAUAUGAUUCAAACGUUAUUAAAAGGUUGCAAAAAUGUUUCUUACAGCACAAAAUAUUACCCAAAAUAUAACAUUAUUUGACAUUUUCGUCAAGUACAAAUAAUAUAAGGAC
rnacentral:lncRNA from 1 species